rnacentral:ncRNA from 1 species
CUCUAAUACAAAUUUUCAGAUGUUAUAUUUUAAGGAAUAUUUCCAGUAAAUGUAUUAGUCUUAAAGAGAUUUAUUCCUUCCAAAAUUGCAAAAGCAACAAGGUAAAAAUGUAUCAGUAAAAUAGAUAUUAGUAGAAUUCCGAUUUGAAUAUAUCUAUUUUAC